rnacentral:rRNA from 1 species
AUUGAACGCUGGCGGCAGGCCUAACACAUGCAAGUCGAACGGUAGCACAGAGAGCUUGCUUCUCGCUGACGAGCGGCGGACGGGUGAGUAAUGUCUGGGGAUCUGCCCGAUGGAGGGGGAUAACUACUGGAAACGGUAGCUAAUACCGCAUAACGUCGCAAGACCAAAGAGGGGGACCUUCGGGCCUCUUGCCAUCAGAUGUGCCCAGAUGGGAUUAGCUAGUAGGUGGGGUAACGGCUCACCUAGGCGACGAUCCCUAGCUGGUCUGAGAGGAUGACCA